CCCUAAACAUUUAUAGUUCCCUACAACCUCUAUUCGCCUGGAAACUACGAGCGCGAGCUUAAAACCCAAAGGACUUGGCGGUGCUUUACAUCCUUCUAGAGGGACACGUCCUAGAACCGACAACCCCCGUUCAACCUCACCUUUCCUUGUUUUUCCCGCCUAUAUACCACCGUCGUAAGCUGACCCUGUGAAGGAAUCAUAGUAAGCUCAACUGGCACAGCCCAGAACGUCAGGUCGAGGUGUAGUGUAUGGAAAGGGAAGAAACGCGUCCCAUUUUCUAUUAAAGAACCCCCCGAUAAUGUGCUGAAACGCAUGUUUUAUGAAGUAGAAUUUAGCAGUAAGCAGGAAGCAGAGCGUCCUGCUGAAAUUGGCUC
rnacentral:rRNA from 1 species